GAUGAAGAACGCAGCGAAAUGCGAUAAGAAAUGCGAAUUGCAGAAUUCAGUGAGUCAUCGAAUCUUUGAACGCACAUUGCGCCCUGUGGUAUUCCGCAGGGCAUGCCUGUUCGAGCGUCAUUUCAACCCUCAAGCUCUGCUUGGUGUUGGGCCCUGCCCGCUGCGGCCGGCCCUAAAGACAGUGGCGGUGCCGCCUGGCCCUGAGCGUAGUACAUCUCUCGCUCCAGUGCCCGGUGGUAGCCUGCCAGAACCCCAACUCUCGUGGUUGACCUCGGAUCAGGUAGGGAUACCCGCUGAACUUAAGCAUAUCAAUAAGCGGAGGA
rnacentral:misc_RNA from 1 species